AACGCACCUUGCGCUCCUUGGUAUUCCUUGGAGCAUGCCUGUUUGAGUAUCAUGAAAUCUUCAAAGUAGAUCCUUUUGUUAACUCGAUUGGUUCUGCUUUGGUUUUGGAGGUCUUUGCAGUUUCACACCUGCUCCUCUUUGUGUAUUAGCUGGAUCUCAGUGUUAUGCUUGGUUCCACUCGGCGUGAUAAGUUUAUCUAUCGCUGAGGACACCGUAAAAAGUGGCCAAGGGAAACGCAGAUGAGCCGCUUCUAAUGGUCCAUUUAUUUGGACAAUAAUUUCUUUAUGAUUUGAUCUCAAAUCAGGUAGGACUACCCGCUGAACUUAA
rnacentral:misc_RNA from 1 species